UUCUACGGCACCAGUUGUACCUUGUUUCUGCAAAUCUUCGAAUGGCACUGGAACUACAGUAUCAACACCAACCUGAGCUAUAGUGGACAACGUUUCUACAAGAGAACGUUUCACUUUAGGUGGUUCAGAGUAUGGUGCUAGAUUAGGUUUGACUGGAAUGGCGAACUCAAAGUCCUCAGCUGCUGCGACUUCAACUAGUACAUCG
rnacentral:misc_RNA from 1 species